rnacentral:rRNA from 1 species
AGUGAACGCUGGCGGUAGGCCUAACACAUGCAAGUCGAACCGCAGCACAGUAAGAGCUUGCUCUUACGGGUGGCGAGUGGCGGACGGGUGAGGAAUACAUCGGAAUCUACUUUUUCGUGGGGGAUAACGUAGGGAAACUUACGCUAAUACCGCAUACGACCUACGGGUGAAAGCAGGGGAUCUUCGGACCUUGCGCGAUUGAAUGAGCCGAUGUCGGAUUAGCUAGUUGGCGGGGUAAAGGCCCACCAAGGCGACGAUCCGUAGCUGGUCUGAGAGGAUGAUCAGCCACCCUGGAACUGAGACACGGUCCAGACUCCUACGGGAGGCAGCAGUGGGGAAUAUUGGACAAUGGGCGCAAGCCUGAUCCAGCCAUACCGCGUGGGUGAAGAAGGCCUUCGGGUUGUAAAGCCCUUUUGUUGGGAAAGAAAAGCAGCAGGUUAAUACCCCGCUGUUCUGACGGUACCCAAAGAAUAAGCACCGGCUAACUUCGUG